rnacentral:rRNA from 1 species
UACGUAGGGUGCAAGCGUUGUCCGGAAUUAUUGGGCGUAAAGGGCUCGUAGGCGGUCCAUCGCGUCGGGAGUGAAAAGCUGGGGCUUAACCCCAGUCCUGCUUCCGAUACGGGUGGACUAGAGGUAGGUAGGGGAGAACGGAAUUCCUGGUGUAGCGGUGAAAUGCGCAGAUAUCAGGAGGAACACCAAUGGCGAAGGCAGCUCACUGGGACGAUACUGACGCUGAGACGCGAAAGCGUGGGGAGCAAACAGG